AUUGAACGCUGGCGGCAGGCUUAACACAUGCAAGUCGAGCGAGCGGCGGACGGGUGAGUAAUGUCUGGGAAACUGCCUGAUGGAGGGGGAUACCUCCUGGAAACGGUAGCUAAUACCGCAUACCAUCAGAUGUGCCCAGAUGGGAUUAGCUAGUAGGUGGGGUAAUGGUUCACCUAGGGGACGAUCCCUAGCUGGUCUGAGAGGAUGACCAGCAACACUAGAACGAGAACACGGUCCAGACUCCUACGGGAGGAGGCAGGGGGGAAUAUUGCACAAUGGGCGCAAGCCUGAUGCAGCCAUGCCACGUAUGUGAAGAAGGCCUUGGGGGUGUAAAGCACUUUCAGCGAGGAGGCGUUACUCGCAGAAGAAGCACCGGCUAACUCCGUGCCAGCAGCCGCGGUAAUAC
rnacentral:rRNA from 1 species